rnacentral:rRNA from 1 species
UACAGAGGGGGCAAGCGUUGUUCGGAAUUACUGGGCGUAAAGGGCGCGUAGGCGGCCCGCUAAGUCGAACGUGAAAUCCCCGAGCUCAACUCGGGAACUGCGUCCGAUACUGGCGGGCUUGAAUCCGGGAGAGGGAUGCGGAAUUCCAGGUGUAGCGGUGAAAUGCGUAGAUAUCUGGAGGAACACCGGUGGCGAAGGCGGCAUCCUGGACCGGCAUUGACGCUGAGUGAGCGAAAGCUAGGGGAGCAAACGGG